AUUGAACGCUGGCGGCAUGCCUUACACAUGCAAGUCGAACGGCAGCGGGGACUUCGGUCCGCCGGCGAGUGGCGAACGGGUGAGUAAUGUAUCGGAACGUACCAUUGAGUGGGGGAUAACGUAGCGAAAGUUACGCUAAUACCGCAUAUUCUCUCCGGAGGAAAGCAGGGGACCGCAAGGCCUUGCGCUCUUUGAGCGGCCGAUAUCAGAUUAGCUAGUUGGUGAGGUAAAGGCUCACCAAGGCGACGAUCUGUAGCGGGUCUGAGAGGAGGAUCCGCCACCCUGGAACUGAGACACGGUCCAGACUCCUACGGGAGGCAGCGUUGGGGAAUUUUGGACAAUGGGGGCAACCCUGAUCCAGCCAUGCCGCGUGAGUGAAGAAGGCCUUCGGGUUGAAAAGCUCUUUCGGCCGGGAAAAAAUCGCAUGGGCUAAUACCCUGUGUGGAUGAUGGUACCGGAAUAAGAAGCACCGGCUAACUACGUGCCAGCAGCCGCCGUAAUAC
rnacentral:rRNA from 1 species